GGCGCGGCGGCCGGCCUCCGAGGGAGUCGCGGCGGAGGGGGGCGCGGCGUCGUCCCCGGGCGCGCGCGCCGCCCGCCUCCCCUCAGACCGCCUUCCGCCCGGCCCCGCCCAGCGCGAGGGGCGCGCGGCCUCCCCGAGCCCCGGAGACGUGGACCGCUGGCGGGAGGAGGCGGCGGGCGCGCGAGCUGCGGCCAGCGUCUCGGCGGCGCCGCGGGCACUAAAAAAAGAACUUUUGUCUGGGAGUAGAAGUCGCUUCUGACCAACUGCUUCUGAGUCUCUUCAGGACUCCCAGAUGGAUUCAGUGGAAAAGACAACAAACAGAAGUGAACAAAAAUCAAGUAGAAAGUUUUUGAAAAGCCUCAUCCGGAAACAGCCCCAGGAGCUGCUCCUGGUCAUCGGGACGGGCGUCAGCGCCGCAGUGGCCCCCGGGAUCCCCGCCCUGUGCUCGUGGAGGAGCUGCAUCGAGGCCGUCAUCGAGGCCGCGGAGCAGCUGGAGGUGCUGCACCCCGGGGACGUGGCCGAGUUCCGCAGGAAGGUGACCAAGGACGGGGACCUGCUGGUCGUCGCCCAUGACCUGAUCCGGAAGAUGUCCCCUCGCACGGGCGACACCAAGCCCAACUUCUUCCAGGACUGCCUGAUGGAGGUGUUCGACAACCUGGGGCAGCACAUCCAGAACCCCCUGGUGCUGCAGUCCAUCCUCAGCCUGAUGGAGCGCGGCACCAUGGUGCUGACCACCAACUACGACACCCUGCUGGAGAUCUUCGGGCGGCAGCAGAGCAGGCCCAUGGAGUCUCUGGACUUGAAGGACAAGACCAAGGUCCUUCAGUGGGCGAGGGGACACAUCAAGUACGGAGUUCUUCACAUUCACGGCCUGUACACAGACCCCUGCGGGAUGGUGUUGGACCCAUCGGGAUAUAAAGAUGUCACUCAGGACCCAGAAGUCAUGGAAGUUUUCCAGAACUUGUACCGCACCAAAUCUUUCCUGUUUGUGGGCUGCGGAGAGACCCUUCGUGACCAGAUAUUCCAGGCCCUCUUCCUUUAUUCGGUGCCGGACAAGGUGGACCUGGAGCACUACAUGGUCGUGCUCAAGGAGAACGAAGACCAUUUCUUUAAGCACCAGGCAGACAUGCUGCUGCACGGAAUUAAGGUCGUGUCCUACGGGGACUGUUUUGACUAUUUUCCGGGGUAUGUGCAAGACCUCGCCGCUCAGAUCUGCAAACAGCGAAGUCCAGAUGCCGAUCGAGUGGACAGCACCACGUUGUUGGGUAAUGCAUGCCAGGACUGUGCAAAGAGGAAGUUAGAAGAAAACGGAAUUGAAGUUUCAAAGAAACUCAGACAGUCAGAUGCUGAUGACGCUGGAGGAUCUUGAAAUCUUUAAAACCGGUAAAACCUGCAGCUUGAAAACCGGCCUUCUGUAACCACAGUGCCAUCCCAAACGAUGAGGAAUGUUAGCAAGCUCCGCACAGGGUCUCUCAGUCCUGACCCGUCAAAUACCCCAAAAGAGCCACGUGGGUGUGCGGCCCCCGGAGGCUGGGUGCGGGAGUUCCGCUGUGUUGAACUGCUCGGAGGUGACACAUGCACACGGCAGUUGUGACAAGGUGCGGUGUCAUGUAUUCAGUGAGGAUUUUUACCUUGAGUUGCCACUCCGUUGUGAAAUUGAUUACUUGAACGUGUUUAAAUUUUUUGAAAAGCAAACAUUAUAAAGUUGGCUUUUUUUAAAAAAAGACACAUUGACAAAGUGCAAUCAGGGCAAGAUAUCUGAAUCUGAAAGUUGGUCAGACACAGCAAUACUACAAGCAUGGAAAAUGAUGUGGAACAGGAUAUGAAACUCAGAAAGUAAAGCAGAGCCGGUGCAACACAAGCUUUGAAUGCCAUGCCGAAGCAUCGGGGGCCUCCUUGCUGUGAUGAAUGACUAUAUCUCAUCAGUUCUGUUGUGAUUCUUAUUUUAAAACGCAAAUUUAUUCCAACAUGAUUGAUAUAUUAGAAACACCUGAAAUACUUACUGUCUGGCCCUUAAAGAAGUUUGCUGGACCUGCUCUAGGGGAAAGCACAAGCCUGCAGCCAGCUGCACGGGGCUGCGGGGAAGACUCCACCCAGCCCUCCGCCGGCCGCCAGCUCCUUCAGACAAGCCUCUUUCCCCUACUUGACCUCAGCAGUGAGCUUCACCUGAUGGAGAAGCAGGACCAGAGAUAUUUUGACUUGUCCAGGCUGGCCAGUGGUGAUGUGAGUAGGACCCAGAACACAGGUCAUCGUGAUAACCAGUUUUCAUGAGCUGACUUAGCCCGGUCCCAUGAACUCUACUUCGUCUAAAGCUAAGUCCAUCCCACCCCCAACAGUGAUUGGUCAAGAAUGAACAUGUGAUGAAGGGACAAUUGCUGGAGCUUUGUGGAAAAGCCUUUCUUCAAUCUUAAGAACAGCACCACUACAAAAGUCAGUCUCUCUCUUCCCUGAGGGCUGUGGUUGUGUGGCUGGAAGGCCAAGAAAGGCUACAGUCAUUUUGCCCUCAUGAGAGAAGCAGCUUCAGGACAAAGUCAAAACACAAAGCAACACAUGGCUAUAGAGGUGAUAGAAACAAAGUCAGAGCUGCUCAAUUAAGGAGACCAUGAAACUGGAUUCCAGGUCUGUGCUCCGGAGCUGGGAAGGACUUGCCUACUGAGGGUCCUGCACUGGGACCCCGCAGGACAGUGCAGGAUGCUGGAGUGUGCUGGCUACUUUUGUCUGUUUCAGGACUGCUCAAAGACUUUGUUAUCCAUUGUGAAUCUCCAAGAAGGGAAAUGCCUUUCAAAACACUGGCAGAAACUCUUCUUCUCUGGCAAGCCAUCUCACUGUAUUGGUGUUCUACAGACCACACAGUGAGAAAUGCUGAUACAAAUACUUUAAACAUUUUAGACAUUUUAUAUGUAACCUAUUUAUACACUAUUUCUUAAAAAACCAUUAGGAAAUCUACUUUUCCCCCUAAACUUAUGCUCUAUCAUCUAAAAAUUAUUCUGCAGUAUUUAAAUAUUCAAUAUUACCAUGAAUUAGUCAUAAACAACAGAGAUCUUUCAAUUACCUUCAAGUCCUCUCUUAGAGAGCUGUAGUCUACCUCAAUGGCUUCUUCUUUUUCAUAUAUAUCAACUGUUGCCUGGGUACUUUCUGCUGCUGUUCCCAACUGAAAAACAUAUGAAGCCCUUUGCUUGUUAUCUGAAAUGGUGAUCUCUACUCACCCAUCUGUCCCAAGUCCUCCAGCUGACUGCCACCUCACUCAGAUUAAAAGAUAAAACCCUUAUGUUGGGCUGCAAGGCCACGAUGAUCUAGCCUCUGUUUCCCCUGCACAUUCACUGUGUGCCAGUCUCCCUGGUACUCUCUGCUCCAACCCAACUGGCCUCCUUGAACAGACCAGGCACACGUCCACUUCAGGGCCCGCACACUGCCCUCUGCCUGGACGACCUUCCCCUACAUGUCUGCAUCUCUUCAUCUUUUACCUCGUCUACUAAUCAGCUACUUUCUCUCAGGACAUCCAUGGCCUCUGCACCUGAUACUGUAAACACUCCUCCACCAAUACUCUUCUCUUUAUUCCCUUCCCUGCUUUAUAUUUUCUUUAGCCUAUAUUACCACCAAACACAUAAAUAUUUUACUUGUUUACCAUUUUGUUUCUGUGCCUAUCUCUCCCUUACUAGAAUGUGAAGGAAGGGAUUUUUGGCAGUUAUAUAGACUGCUGUAGCCUCUGUGCCUAGUGCAAUGCUGACAACCUACAUUUCAAUUUCAAUAUAUAUCACCCUCUGAAUGAAGAAAGGAAUAGGGAAGAAGGAACAAAUAAAUGAGCACUUAUUCAGCUGUAGGCUGGCCUUUGGUGUAAUGCUGAUACCAAAAAUCAAGACUUACAAAUUAACAGAAAAAAAAAAAACCCCUUUGUCACUCCUUUCUAGAUGUUCUCAGCUUUUAAACAAACCCAA